UAUGGGAGCUAUCGGGAAAAUUCCAACGGUUUUGUCUUAGUUUCGUCAUUGUAAAUCCAACGAGACCGUCCGCAAGGUCGUAGCUUUUACGAUAGCCGAGAUAUGGCAUUUUUGAUGCCCAUUUUUGGCCUCAAAAACGGACGUCGAAAACGACUUUUUCAGGAUUUUCAAAGUGCUCUCAUUCCCUUAGUUCUGCUCGGAUCCUGUUAUAACCCGGUGUUUUCGUAAUCUAGGUGACCCAAAUAAGACGCUGGUAUACUUAGUUUGACUUCGAAAAAAAUCAAUUUUUGGUGAAAAAAUUCGAUACGGGGGGGUAUACCCGAAAAAUGAAAAAACCCAAACUUUGAAGGUCGAUAUCUCGGCUUCUAUGGGAGCUAUCGGGAAAAUUCCAACGGUUUUGUCUUAGUUUCGUCAUUGUGAAUCCAACGAGACCAUCCGCAAGGUCGUAGCUCUUCUAAUAGCUGAGAUAUGGCAUUUUUGAUGCCCAUUUUUGGCCUCAAAAACGGACGUCGAAAACGACUUUUUCAGGAUUUUCAAAGUGCUCUCAUUCCCUUAGUUCUGCUCGGAUCCUGUUAUAACCCGGUGUUUUCGUAAUCUAGGUGACCCAAAUAAGACGCUGGUAUACUUAGUUUGACUUCGAAAAAAAUCAAUUUUUGGUGAAAAAAUUCGAUACGGGGGGGUAUACCCGAAAAAUGAAAAAACCCAAACUUUGAAGGUCGAUAUCUCGGCUUCUAUGGGAGCUAUCGGGAAAAUUCCAACGGUUUUGUCUUAGUUUCGUCAUUGUGAAUCCAACGAGACCGCCCGCAAGGUCGUAGCUUUUACGAUAGCCAAGAUAUGGCAUUUUUGAUGCCCAUUUUUGGCCUCAAAAACGGACGUCGAAAACGACAUUUUCAGGAUUUUCAAAGUGCUCUCAUUCCCUUAGUUCUGCUCGGAUCCUGUUAUAACCCGGUGUUUUCGUAAUCUAGGUGACCCAAAUAAGACGCUGGUAUACUUAGUUUGAUUUCGAAAAAAAUCAAUUUUUGGUGAAAAAAUUCGAUACGGGGGGGUAUACCCGAAAAAUGAAAAAACCCAAACUUUGAAGGUCGAUAUCUCGGCUUUUAUGGGAGCUAUCGGGAAAAUUCCAACGGUUUUGUCUUAGUUUCGUCAUUGUGAAUCCAACGAGACCAUCCGCAAGGUCGUAGCUCUUCUAAUAGCUGAGAUAUGGCAUUUUUGAUGCCCAUUUUUGGCCUCAAAAACGGACGUCGAAAACGACUUUUUCAGGAUUUUCAAAGUGCUCUCAUUCCCUUAGUUCUGCUCGGAUCCUGUUAUAACCCGGUGUUUUCGUAAUCUAGGUGACCCAAAUAAGACGCUGGUAUACUUAGUUUGAUUUCGAAAAAAAUCAAUUUUUGGUGAAAAAAUUCGAUACGGGGGGGUAUACCCGAAAAAUGAAAAAACCCAAACUUUGAAGGUCGAUAUCUCGGCUUCUAUGGGAGCUAUCGGGAAAAUUCCAACGGUUUUGUCUUAGUUUCGUCAUUGUGAAUCCAACGAGACCAUCCGCAAGGUCGUAGCUCUUACGAUAGCCGAGAUAUGGCAUUUUUGAUGCCCAUUUUUGGCCUCAAAAACGGACGUCGAAAACGACUUUUUCAGGAUUUUCAAAGUGCUCUCAUUCCCUUAGUUCUGCUCGGAUCCUGUUAUAACCCGGUGUUUUCGUAAUCUAGGUGAC
rnacentral:lncRNA from 1 species